UACGUAGGGUGCAAGCGUUGUCCGGAAUUAUUGGGCGUAAAGAGCUCGUAGGCGGUUUGUCGCGUCUGCUGUGAAAACUCGGGGCUUAACUCCGGGACUGCAGUGGGUACGGGCAGACUAGAGUGCGGUAGGGGAGACUGGAAUUCCUGGUGUAGCGGUGAAAUGCGCAGAUAUCAGGAGGAACACCGGUGGCGAAGGCGGGUCUCUGGGCCGUAACUGACGCUGAGGAGCGAAAGCGUGGGGAGCGAACAGG
rnacentral:rRNA from 1 species